GCCUAGGCUGGACUUGAACUCCUGCUCUCAAGCAAUCCUCCUGCCUCAGCCUCCCAAGUAGCUGAGACUACAGGCACUGGCUCAUUCAUUGUAAAGGCAGUUUUGCCCAGGGAUCUCCAGCUGGAGCAUCCCACUGCUGUCUGUUGCCGGAGACAUAGCCCGUUCUGUGUAGAACACCCACAAGGCAGCAGCAAGAGGACAGCCGCCACCUGAAACUACUGGAGGAUGUUUUCUAUCAAAACAAGAAAGUUAAUUGAGCAAGAGGAAGAUGUAGGAUCCAGGAAAGCCACAGAGUAAUCCAGAAGACAGAGGAGGAGACUCCCCGGAGCGCUGGGGAAGGGGGAUCAAGAUGAGAGCUGAGCACCAGCUGCAGCAGGAGCUGGUCCAGAUGGAACAAGACUCCCCGAGAGCGAAGAAGAUGAAAUGCUGGAAUGAAAGAACACCACCUCUUGGAAACACUGAGAGCACAUUGAGACAGAAAAUUUGA